UUGAAUCAAUAAUGGAAGGUGAAAGUUGCAAAGUCUACAUUUAACAUAAGACACGUCUACUAUUUUCAUUCGAAACGUCUACCAUUAAUAUAAGAGAAAUCAAAGACAAGUAGACUUUCUGGAAAAUUAAAUUGUUCUUGAGAUUGAAUCAAUUAACCAAGGUGAAAGCUGCAAAGUUUAUAUUUAACAUAAGACACGUCAACUAUUUUCAUAAGAAAUGGCUACCAUUAACAUAAGAGAAAUUAAAGAAAAGUAGAUUUUCUGGAAAUCUAAAUUGCUCUUGAGAUUGAAUCAAUAAUAGAAGGUGAAAGUUGCAAAGUCUACAUUUAACAUAAGACACAACUACUGUUUUCAUGAGAAAUGUCUACCAUUUAGAUGGGCAAAAUCACAGAAAAGUAGACAUUCUGGAAAUCAAAAUUGUUCUUGAGAUUGAAUCAAUAAACAUUCACAAAAUGAAAAUUGACCGUCUGAUGUGAUCAUUAUAGUGAAACAUAGCUAUGGUAUAAAAAUUCAACUGGAUUCAACAAUGUUCGAUGCUCGAUCAAAGUGGUCAACCCUAAUUCAUCUUUACUUAUCACACGAAAACUAUCUUACCUACCUCUUCGUGACCUAGUUUGGUGGAUUCUUCAACACAAUAAAGUGUCACAUAGAUGAGACAUAACCACCCAUGUAAAACUUUGGGGACGUUUACCACCCGAGGAUAGGGCUCUCCUUAUUGAAGCAUAAGCAUAAAUAGGGUUGACCGCUUCGAUCGGGGCUCAAACAUUGACAAAUUAAAGUGAUUUUCCUACCGUAGCCGUAUUUUACUAUACCGAUCACAUCCUAUUUCAUGAGAUUUUUGAAAAUUUUGCUUCCUCUAUAUAGUUGGUUCACAAAGUUGUACACUAGCAUAUAACCUAUCAAAU
rnacentral:lncRNA from 1 species